CACCACCAUCACCAGGUCAUGAUAGUAUAGUCAUAAGUCACCACCAUCACCAGGUCAUGAUAGUAUAGUCAUAAGUCACCACCAUCACCAGGUCAUGAUAGUAUAGUCAUAAGUCACCACCAUCACCAGGUCAUGAUAGUAUAGUCAUAAGUCACCACCAUCACCAGGUCAUGAGAGUAUAGUCAUAAGUCACCACCAUCACCAGGUCAUGAUAGUAUAGUCAUAAGUCACCACCAUCACCAGGUCAUGAGAGUAUAGUCAUAAGU